AAAUUGAAGAGUUUGAUCAUGGCUCAGAUUGAACGCUGGCGGCAGGCCUAACACAUGCAAGUCGAACGGUAACAGAAAGCAGCUUGCUGCUUUGCUGACGAGUGGCGGACGGGUGAGUAAUGUCUGGGAAACUGCCUGAUGGAGGGGGAUAACUACUGGAAACGGUAGCUAAUACCGCAUAACGUCGCAAGACCAAAGAGGGGGACCUUCGGGCCUCUUGCCAUCGGAUGUGCCCAGAUGGGAUUAGCUAGUAGGUGGGGUAAAGGCUCACCUAGGCGACGAUCCCUAGCUGGUCUGAGAGGAUGA
rnacentral:rRNA from 1 species